rnacentral:lncRNA from 1 species
CUGGUUCCUGCCAAGUGUCAUUUCUUCAUGUGGUUAUGGCUUCGGGGAAGAAUCCAAACAAAUGACAAUCUGGAGAUUCAUGGCAUUCCCUGUAAUGAUGCAUGCAACUUAUGUGAUCAAGAAGAUGAAUACCCUUUGCACCUUAUUCUGAAAUGCUCCUAUGCUAGAACAGUUUGGCAGCAGGUUGCGAACUGGAGUGACACCCCUGCUUUGGCCACUCAUGCCCAAGAAACUGAGUCCAUCACGGAGUGGUCAAAUGAGCACACCUGCAACUUGCCCAAGAAACUGAGUCCAUCACGGAGUGGUCAAAUGAGCACACCUGCAACUUGCCCAAGAAACAUGUAUCCACUGCAAUCUACACUGCAUGGAAUCUAUGGAAAGAGUGUAACAGGCGAGUCUUGGAGCGCAAGUUCUUAAAUGAAGCUGCUCUUUUAUCCAAUGAAGCAAGAUAUAUUGCAACCGAGUUUCUCCUUCUGCUGGAUAAUCGAUGUUCAAAAUGCACCAGAACCUGAGCCUGACUAGUUCUCUAUUAGCUUGGUGUGGGACACCUUAACCCCAACCUCUUGUAAAACAAGGAAUUUGUAUUUGUUUUCUCCUACUUAAUAUAUCGGCAGCAAAACUGCCA